rnacentral:rRNA from 1 species
AAAAGCGGAGGAAAAGAAACCAACAGGGAUUGCCUCAGUAGCGGCGAGUGAAGCGGCAAGAGCUCAGAUUUGAAAUCGUGCUUUGCGGCACGAGUUGUAGAUUGCAGGUUGGAGUCUGUGUGGAAGGCGGUGUCCAAGUCCCUUGGAACAGGGCGCCCAGGAGGGUGAGAGCCCCGUGGGAUGCCGGCGGAAGCAGUGAGGCCCUUCUGACGAGUCGAGUUGUUUGGGAAUGCAGCUCCAAGCGGGUGGUAAAUUCCAUCUAAGGCUAAAUACUGGCGAGAGACCGAUAGCGAACAAGUACUGUGAAGGAAAGAUGAAAAGCACUUUGAAAAGAGAGUGAAACAGCACGUGAAAUUGUUGAAAGGGAAGGGUAUUGCGCCCGACAUGGGGAUUGCGCACCGCUGCCUCUCGUGGGCGGCGCUCUGGGCUUUCCCUGGGCCAGCAUCGGUUCUUGCUGCAGGAGAAGGGGUUCUGGAACGUGGCUCUUCGGAGUGUUAUAGCCAGGGCCAGAUGCUGCGUGCGGGGACCGAGGACUGCGGCCGUGUAG